rnacentral:rRNA from 1 species
AGAUUGAACGCUGGCGGCAUGCCUUACACAUGCAAGUCGAACGGCAGCACGGGGGCAACCCUGGUGGCGAGUGGCGAACGGGUGAGUAAUGCAUCGGAACGUGCCCAGUAGUGGGGGGAUAACUAGUCGAAAGAUUAGCUAAUACCGCAUACGACCUAUGGGUGAAAGCGGGGGAUUCGCAAGAACCUCGCGCUAUCGGAGCGGCCGAUGUCUGAUUAGCUAGUUGGCGGGUAAAAGCCCACCAAGGCUUCGAUCAGUAGCUGGUCUGAGAGGACGACCAGCCACACUGGGACUGAGACACGGCCCAGACUCCUACGGGAGGCAGCAGUGGGGAAUUUUGGACAAUGGGCGCAAGCCUGAUCCAGCCAUGCCGCGUGCGGGAAGAAGGCCUUCGGUUGUAAACCGCUUUUGGCAGGAACGAAACGGCGCGAGCGAAUAUCUCGCGUUAAUGACGGUACCUGCAGAAUAAGCACCGCUAACUACGUGCCAGCAGCCCG